rnacentral:rRNA from 1 species
AUGGCGCUGCCUCCCAAGAACAUGCCUGUACGACGCCCACGAGAGGUAGAAGAAGAAGUCAGUCAACUGGAGAAGGUGGCACACCAGCGAGCGUUUGAUGAGCCAAGCAGAUAUGAGGCACCACCUGGUUGGGUAACACCAGAAAUACCACCUGGAUACUUCAAUAAUACAGGCAGAUUUCAAGAUACACUGGAAUCAUCAGAAGCACAGACAGACCAGUGCCCGGCAAUGGCUUUGGCGAUCCCAGAUGUUUUCAAGAACACAAUACAUAAGCUAUGCCGCUGGCACAUUAUGAAGAAGUACAGGGAACACCUCGCAUACCUGUACUACCUGCACAAUGACUUUAAGGAUGAAUUCACAUCAAUGCUCAACUGGCCCCUCAUGCCAACUGAGUUUGAGGAUGCCUGGAAAAUACUCAUGGAUAAGUACAACCUCCACGAUGAUGCUACAAUGGUGGGCAUGUGGAACGAGCGCGAGAGAUGGAUAUCAGCCUACUUCAAAGAAAUUUUCUGCGCCAAAAUGACAUCCACACAGCAAAGUGAGAGCAUGAACUAUGUGCUCAAGAAGAACUUCGUAAGUGAGAGACAAAACCUACACCGGUUUGUCAGCCAGGUAAACUCCUGCGUCAAAACCAGGAGGCAGACAGAGAACCAGGAGACAAUGGCUAACCGGAAGGAACAAAACAUGCUGACCUUCUAUGGGUUUAAUACCCAGAUGGCAAAGCUCUACUCACGAGCUGUGUACAGCGAGAUCAGAAAAAGGCUAAAACUGAGCACACUCUUCACGGCGACAGAGACAGAAGAGCCCACAAAGUACCUCGUGCUCUACAACCACCCGCAAAAACUAUCUGUGUGGGAUCAGCACGCGUUCCAGGUGGUUGCAGACCCCAUGGGAGAAACAUAUGAGUGCGAGUGCAGGCUAUGGGAACACACGGGUCUUUUCUGCGUGCAUGUCCUGUGCAUGAUGCAGACAAUUAAGGCUGCCAGCGUUCCAGAGAAAUACAUCCUCAGGAGAUACACCAAAUGCCCGAACAUCCAGCCAACAUUCAAUAGAAAUGAUUUGAGGACAGUAGCGUCCAAUAAGGCAUCACAAUACUGCAUUGAAAGCUCACUGAUGACGCUGAACAUGAGGGUGCACAAAAAAAGCUUGAGAAGCCAAGAGCAAAUGGCGAGGUCGCGGGUCGUCAUGGACAAACUUGAACAAGAACUCGACGCCAUGCAUUCUGCUGAAAAUGGAGGUGUCGCGGACAAUGAAGCCAUUGAGCAGGAUAUUGCUACAAUGUUAUCCGAGAUGAACCAUCUGGGAGCUAUUGACCCAUUCGACAACGAGGAAGAGGAGCAGCAGCAACCGGAGCUUACCCAUCAGGAAAGGGUGAUUAAACCACCCAUAUUCUCAAACACAAAGGGGAGGAAGAGCAAGACGCAAGCAGCAGCCAAAAAGCCACCACGCCCCAUCAAGCGUGUGGAAUUUGGCCCGGACGGCAAACCUCUUGGGAUAAGAGCAUGCGGAUUCUGCAACGUCGUGAGCAACCAUAACUACCGCACAUGCCCACUCCGCACAGAUGCCACUGUCAACAAGAACAAGCAGAUUGGAGCCACCCAGGUUUCUACCAAUGGAGACAACACACGUAACAGCUACACUUGCCGCAAGUGUGGGGGAACUGACGGACAUAAUGCCCGCACGUGCAAAGUGGGCAAGGAGGUCAGUGAAGCUGAAGAGAAACAGGGCAAGGUACAGAGUUCCAGAAAAUCAAAUGAAGACGAUGAAGAAGAAGAGUUUGACGAGAAUGACGACCAAUCAGACGAAGACAAUGAAGAUGAUAGUGUCGGCAGCGAGGAAACUGAAACUGACGAUGAAGCUGCCAAGGCUCAACCUGGAAAGGGCGCCGGCAAGGCACAACAUUCGGGGCCAGUUAGGAGAAGCUCAAGACUGAACAAUACAUAGCCCAAGCGCCUGAGCGAGAUGUUGCUGCAUGAGAAGUUGUUCACAUUUGCCGGUUUCAGCAUUGAAAGCGACAAAGAGAAGUUGAAGUUGUCCGGUUUGGAGAUCAACUCCAACAAGUUCAUUGACAUUCAGCGUAAGUGGAGAGUUCCAUACACCAGAAAAGAAACCACCAUUGCUGCUUCCAUCUCCACUGCACACAAACCACAAACUUCUCUCUCCCAAGCCCAUAGUCGCCGGAGGAAGGUGAUGGUGGAGGAACCGUCCGCCAAGCGUCACCAUGGCGAGACGUCGAACACGAGCAGCAACCUCGUCGACAUUCACGUCCCCGGCGAGAAGCGCGAGUACACCAAAACGCUCAAAGGGGUUGAGCUCCACGACAAGGAGAUGCUGGAGAUCGUCUGCACCAGCAUACCAGACAAGGCCGACGAGGUAAUAAGCAGGCUCAGGAUGAAGGGCGGUGGCUUGUAUCCGAGCUUCAUCGGAGUUGAUGUGGAGUACACCAACAAAGAAGAACCUCCACAGAUGGCGGCAGUCCUGCAGUUGUUCGUCAAGGAACUCUGCUUGGUAUACCACAUCCCAGCAGCCACAAAAUGGUAA